rnacentral:rRNA from 1 species
UACGUAGGGUGCGAGCGUUGAUCGGAAUUACUGGGCGUAAAGCGUGCGCAGGCGGUCUUGCAAGACAGGUGUGAAAUCCCCGGGCUUAACCUGGGAACUGCACUUGUGACUGCAAGGCUGGAGUACGGCAGAGGGGGAUGGAAUUCCGCGUGUAGCAGUGAAAUGCGUAGAUAUGCGGAGGAACACCGAUGGCGAAGGCAAUCCCCUGGGCCUGUACUGACGCUCAUGCACGAAAGCGUGGGGAGCGAACAGG